AACCGGGCGGCCGUGCCUAUACAUGCAAGUCGAGCGCGGGAAGCGAGUGGAUCUCCUUCGGGAGUGAAACUCGUGGAACGAGCGGCGGACGGGUGAGUAACACGUGGGCAACCUACCUGUAAGAUCGGAAUAACCUCGGGAAACCGGGGCUAAUGCCGGGUAACACUUUCUUUCGCAUGAAGGAAAGUUAAAAGAUGGCUUCUGGCUAUCACUUACAGAUGGGCCCGCGGCGCAUUAGCUAGUUGGUGAGGUAACGGCUCACCAAGGCAACGAUGCGUAGCCGACCUGAGAGGGUGAUCGGCCACACUGGGACUGAGACACGGCCCAGACUCCUACGGGAGGCAGCAGUAGGGAAUCUUCCGCAAUGGACGAAAGUCUGACGGAGCAACGCCGCGUGAACGAUGAAGGUUUUCGGAUCGUAAAGUUCUGUUGUUAGGGAAGAACAAGUACCGUUCAAAUAGGGCGGUACCUUGACGGUACCUAACGAGGAAGCCCCGGCUAACUACGUGCCAGCAGCCGCGGUAAUACGUAGGGGGCAAGCGUUGUCCGGAAUUAUUGGGCGUAAAGCGCGCGCAGGCGGUUCCUUAAGUCUGAUGUGAAAGCCCACGGCUCAACCGUGGAGGGCCAUUGGAAACUGGGGAACUUGAGGACAGAAGAGGAGAGUGGAAUUCCACGUGUAGCGGUGAAAUGCGUAGAUAUGUGGAGGAACACCAGUGGCGAAGGCGACUCUCUGGUCUGUCUCUGACGCUGAGGUGCGAAAGCGUGGGUAGCAAACAGGAUUAGAUACCCUGGUAGUCCACGCUGUAAACGAUGAGUGCUAGGUGUUAGGGGGCUUCCACCCCUUAGUGCUGAAGUUAACGCAUUAAGCACUCCGCCUGGGGAGUACGGCCGCAAGGCUGAAACUCAAAGGAAUUGACGGGGGCCCGCACAAGCGUGA
rnacentral:rRNA from 1 species